ACACUCCUUGGGGAAAUUCCCCGGGCGCAACGAGAGAGAGUCUCAUCCGGAAACGGAAGUCACCGGCGCGGCAGCCGCUCGUUUUACGAAGACAGCCGAUAGUCACAUGUGGCAUGUCGGCAAGAGUAUUAUAGCGAGACGGCGCCGUCAAAAAGCCGCCGCCAGAUCAAAGUUAUGCCAUCACUGCAAAACUCAACGGGGGUCACUAC
rnacentral:RNase_MRP_RNA from 12 species